CCGAGUGCGGGUUCUAACGAGCCCAACCUCCCACCCGUGUUUACUGUUACCGCGUUGCUUCGGCGGGCCCACUGGGGCCUGGCCCCGGUCGCCGGGGGGCUUCUGCCCCCGGGUCCGCGCCCGCCGAAGCGCCCUGGAACCCUGUCUGAAUAGUGAGUCUGAGUGGAUAUUGAAUCAUUA
rnacentral:misc_RNA from 2 species